GUGCUUGCUUUGGUAGCAUGUACAUUAAAAUUGAAACAAUACAAAUAAGGUUAGCAUGGCCCCUGAGUAAGGGUGACACACAAAUUUAUGAAGUGUUCUAUAUUUUA